GGGGACAACAGCCAGAAAUGGCUGCUAAUACCGCAUAAUCCUGCGCUGCCGCAUGGCAGCGCAGGGAAAACUCCGGUGGUACAGGAUGGUCCCGCGUCUGAUUAGCUUGUUGGCGGGGUAACGGCCCACCAAGGCGACGAUCAGUAGCCGGCUUGAGAGAGCGGACGGCCACAUUGGGACUGAGACACGGCCCAGACUCCUGCGGGAGGCAGCAGUGGGGAAUAUUGCACAAUGGGGGGAACCCUGAUGCAGCAAUGCCGCGUGGGUGAAGAAGUACCCCGGUAUGUAAAGCCCUGUCAGCAGGGAAGAAAAUGACGGUACCUGACUAAGAAGCCCCGGCUAACUACGUGCCAGCAGCCGCGGUAAUACGUAGGGGGCGAGCGUUAUCCGGAUUUACUGGGUGUAAAGGGAGCGCAGGCGGCGUGGCAAGUCAGAUGUGAAAACCCGGGGCCCAACCCCGGGACUGCAUUUGAAACUGCCAUGCUGGAGUGCCGGAGAGGCAAGUGGAAUUCCUAGUGUAGCGGUGAAAUGCGUAGAUAUUAGGAGGAACACCAGUGGCGGAGGCGGCUUGCUGGACGGUAACUGACGCUGAGGCUCGAAAGCGUGGGGAGCAAACAGGAUUAGAUACCCUGGUAGUCCACGCCGUAAACG
rnacentral:rRNA from 1 species